rnacentral:rRNA from 1 species
AUAUUCUGUAGCAAGGUUAACCGAAUAGGGGAGCCGGAGGGAAACCGAGUCUUAAUUGGGCGUUAAGUUGCAGGGUAUAGACCCGAAACCCGGUGAUCUAGCCAUGGGCAGGUUGAAGGUUGGGUAACACUAACUGGAGGACCGAACCGACUAAUGUUGAAAAAUUAGCGGAUGACCUGUGGCUGGGGGUGAAAGGCCAAUCAAACCGGGAGAUAGCUGGUUCUCCCCGAAAGCUAUUUAGGUAGCGCCUCGUGAAUUCAUCUCCGGGGGUAGAGCACUGUUUCGGCUAGGGGGCCAUCCCGGCUUACCAACCCGAUGCAAACUGCGAAUACCGGAGAAUGUUAUCACGGGAGACACACGGCGGGUGCUAACGUCCGUCGUGAAGAGGGAAACAACCCAGACCGCCAGCUAAGGUCCCAAAGUCAUGGUUAAGUGGGAAACGAUGUGGGAAGGCCCAGACAGCCAGGAUGUUGGCUUAGAAGCAGCCAUCAUUUAAAGAAAGCGUAAUAGCUCACUGGUCGAGUCGGCCUGCGCGGAAGAUGUAACGGGGCUAAACCAUGCACCGAAGCUGCGGCAGCGACGCUGAUGCGUUGUUGGGUAGGGGAGCGUUCUGUAAGCCUGCGAAGGUGGCCUGUGAGGGUUGCUGGAGGUAUCAGAAGUGCGAAUGCUGACAUAAGUAACGAUAAAGCGGGUGAAAAGCCCGCUCGCCGGAAGACCAAGGGUUCCUGUCCAACGUUAAUCGGGGCAGGGUGAGUCGACCCCUAAGGCGAGGCCGAAAGGCGUAGUCGAUGGGAAACGGGUUAAUAUUCCCGUACUUGGUGUUACUGCGAAGGGGGGACGGAGAAGGCUAUGUUGGCCGGGCGACGGUU